UAAGGAAUAUUGGUCAAUGGAGGCAACUCUGAACCAGCCAUGCCGCGUGAAGGAUUAAGGCCCUCUGGGUUGUAAACUUCUUUUAUAUGGGAAGAAAUGUUCUGAUUCUUCAGAGCUUGACGGUACCAUAGGAAUAAGCACCGGCUAACUCCGUGCCAGCAGCCGCGGUAAUACGGAGGGUGCAAGCGUUAUCCGGAUUCACUGGGUUUAAAGGGUGCGUAGGUGGGCAGAUAAGUCAGUGGUGAAAUCUCCGGGCUUAACCCGGAAACUGCCGUUGAUACUAUUUGUCUUGAAUAUUGUGGAGGUGAGCGGAAUAUGGCAUGUGGCGGUGAAAUGCUUAGAUAUGACAUAGAACACCAAUUGCGAAGGCAGCUUACUACACAAUCAUUGACGCUGAGGCACGAAAGCGUGGGGAUCAAACA
rnacentral:rRNA from 1 species